GCCAACAGGUUUGACUGGCAAUAUAAAUAAUGUUGUUCAUCGUUUAUAUUGUUUAUAACAUCGUCAGUUUUUAUAUGCAUUUAUUAUUUUAAAAAAUAGUUCAAAAGCUGUCAAAAUAAAAUGGUGAAUUGAGUUUAAACCAGAAAAGAUAUAAACGUAAUCUUUGGGAUUCAACUUGUAAGGAUGUUCCAAGAACCACUUAGUUGGAGAAGGAAAACUGUGGUAAUAUUUUAUAAGUAUCAGUAAGGAAAUUUACUUAAUGCACAAGAUUUUACUUCAUAGUUAAAUAUAAGCAUAUAAAAGCAAUGUUUAUAAAUAAUACACUAUUAUUUAUUAUAAUACAAUUAUUUUUAUUUGUUUAUAUUUAACUGAUGUAAAGUGCUCGUCUUUGAAUGUUUGACUGGAAAUAUAAACGAUGUUGUACAUAAUGCAGAUAGCUUAGGCAAAAAAGAGAUUGGUGAAAUGGAGAAUGAGACUAACUAGGGUGAAAAAAAAUGAAUAUUAAUAUGUGAAUGGUACUUUGUUUAACAUCUACCUGUUUCUACAGAUACAGUACAGACGCAUUUAUAAAUGGGCUUGAUGUUUUUUUGAAUUAAAUAUGUUGUAUUGA